UACGUAGGGGGCAAGCGUUGUCCGGAUUUAUUGGGCGUAAAGAGCGUGUAGGCGGCCUGAAAGGUCAGCUGUGAAAACUCGAGGCUCAACCUCGAGACGUCGGUUGAAACCAUCUGGCUAGAGUCCGGAAGAGGAGUGUGGGAUUCCCGGUGUAGCGGUGAAAUGCGCAGAUAUCGGGAAGAACACCCGUGGCGAAGGCGGCACUCUGGGACGGUACUGACGCUGAGACGCGAAAGCGUGGGGAGCGAACAGG
rnacentral:rRNA from 1 species